GACGAACGCUGGCGGCGUGCCUAAUACAUGCAAGUAGAACGCUGAAGAGAGGAGCUUGCUCUUCUUGGAUGAGUUGCGAACGGGUGAGUAACGCGUAGGUAACCUGCCUUGUAGCGGGGGAUAACUAUUGGAAACGAUAGCUAAUACCGCAUAACAAUGGAUGACACAUGUCAUUUAUUUGAAAGGGGCAAUUGCUCCACUACAAGAUGGACCUGCGUUGUAUUAGCUAGUAGGUGAGGUAAUGGCUCACCUAGGCGACGAUACAUAGCCGACCUGAGAGGGUGAUCGGCCACACUGGGACUGAGACACGGCCCAGACUCCUACGGGAGGCAGCAGUAGGGAAUCUUCGGCAAUGGGGCAACCCUGACCGAGCAACGCCGCGUGAGUGAAGAAGGUUUUCGGAUCGUAAAGCUCUGUUGUAAGUCAAGAACGGGUGUGAGAGUGGAAAGUUCACACUGUGACGGUAGCUUACCAGAAAGGGACGGCUAACUACGUG
rnacentral:rRNA from 1 species